ACAUAGAGUGAUCCAGACAAUCCUUUAGGGAAAACUUAUUUUUAAAACAAUCUAAAUUCUCAGCAGCUUCAGCUAUUACCACAGAACACUCUAUGGUCUGCUCUCAGUUUGCAGUUCCAUCCUUGCCCUAGCUCUCCUGACUUAUAAAUUUAUGUUUUUGGUACCAGCCUAUCACCAUAAAAUAAAAUAAAAUAAAAUAAAAUAAAAUAAAAUAUAUCACCUUAUUUAUUAAGAUUUCCUUCUCUGUGUCUUCUUGUGUAUUUUCAUUUUAGAAAAUAGCUAAGGAAUCUCUCCUUUUAUAAAUCAUAUUCUCUUCCCCAGGCUAAUAUCUAUAUCUAUAUCAUCUAUAUCUAUAUCUAUAUCUAUAUCUAUAUCUAUAUCUAUCUAUAUCUCUCUGUUCUGUGUGUAUAUUACCUCUCUACAUUUAUAAAUUCACUGUAAUCAUAGAUACAUUCUUGCUUUACUACUAUUACUACUACUACUAUAACUAAUAUUUUGCUAUAUUCCUGUAUAUAUAUUGGAUAUAAUUUUCAUCCACCAAUUUCUCUUGAUGACAGAUACCCUUGGAGCAUGAAAAAAAAAAACUUCUGCUAAUCUUAAAGAGAUUAUGAAUUAUUUCAGUACUGGAAGAGGAAGACCAGGCAGGCACAGCUUCUGGUCCUGCUAUGACAGUACUGUUCUGGGCUUGAGAAUUCUUUGUCUUCCACACUUGGAAAGUGAUUACACCAAAGUCGGAUUCAUUGGAAAUAUAUAAUUUCCUGUCAUGUCUGCAGACCCUGUCAGUAGAGAGAAGUUGAAACGCAUUCCCUGAAUGAAUCAAUGAAGACUAGAAGUGAAAGCCUCAUUAAUGUCUGAGGUUGAAUGCAGCUGGGCUGGCGCAGUCAUAGAAUUUGACUUUUCUUUGCAGUUUCUCAUUAAGCCCACAGAAUUCUUUGUGGGUGUCAUCUGAGCCUGGUGCGUAGGCAGUCACAUGGACAAAGCCUCUAGAGAAGGACCACCUGUCCAGGAAGGACAACAUCACCCACAAUGGGCCUGGUCCUCCACAACAAUCAUUAAUCAAGGUUCAGAGGUUCAGUCCAUUAUCAUCAAGAUGGGAGCAUGGUAGCAUCCAGGCAGGCAUGGUGCAGGAGAAGCUGAGCGAUCUACGUCUUCAUCUGAAAGGGGCUAGGACAAGACUGGCUCCCAAGGGGUUAUGAAGAAAUCUCUUAAUUACAGUGAAGCAGCAAUCAAAAACAGAAAAGAGGACUGGCUCAUUCUUAACAAGAAUCUCAAAUGUACUGGGAACACUCUCAACUGGUAAAAUUCUAUCAAAUGUCAAAGGGAUAUAACCAGAAAAAUGAAGCAAUAUUUCAUGCAGAAAAUUUGCAAAAGAAGUGAAACUGAUUCCAAAGCCAAUGGAAACAUUUGGCUUUUAUGUGCUACAAUGAGAACAAACUGCUCUGCUCUUGUUAGCUUAAAGUUUUCAUUAAUCUGUAACUCUCAAAUUUUAUUUUGACUUCAUUUCUGCACAAACCUACGUGUUAAGUUUUAAAGUUAAACAACACAAUUCAAAUGAUUGCAGCUUUCUAUGAGUUUACUUUGUAUAAAUGCUUUUGAAUGUACUUGUGAAUGUUAGAAAUCUACUUUGAAAUAGGUCAUUACUAUGUAAAAGUGCAUAAUAUGUGCAUAUGUACACUGAUGUUUUCCCCUAUUUAUCCAUAUUGUUGUUAUUCAAGAGGAUCAGGAGGAGGUCAGUAUUUGAAGUAUGUACAAAGGUACCAGAGACACAGGAGAAAAAUACUUUAAAAUCCAUGGGAUAAUCAUGUCUCUUACAAAAGUUCUAUGUUUCAAACUCAUUUACAUAUGAGUUAAAAGAAAACAUUAUUUUAUUCAUGUUAGACUUUGAAAGGUCUAACCGCAGGAACAAUUUGUACGAUGGUACAUGAAUGUGUUCACAUUUUGACAAUUUUGCUAGUUUUAAUAACUGACAUUUAGUCCCCUGUUUUCUCACAGAUUAACUUCCUUCAGUUUUAGUCAGGACGGAUCAUCUGGUUUCUCUGUUUCAGUUUCUAUGCCUUUUGAGUUUCUGCUCCUAUUCAUUGAGAACUUUUCUUGUUUGUGGCGUGCAAUCUGCUGUUAAACCAGUACAGCUCAAAGGUAUCACUGUUAGGUUCAGAAGUUGUACCUGCUUCUCCGUAAUAGUAAAUAUGUUGUUGAUUUAAAACA
rnacentral:lncRNA from 1 species